GAGACAGAAAACAAUUUAAAAUGAUUGUGCUUUAUCUCGAAGUAAAAUAUGUUUCAUUAUGUAUGAUUGAUUAGAUAUUCGCUCGUGCUCGUCACUGAAAUUAUAUGUACUGAAUGUGGGCCAUUACCAUAACACAUAUCUUUCACUUUAAACACAAAACAGUUUUGUAAUCAAUGUUCUAAAUGAUAAAAUCGUCGAGCACAACAUACCAAUAUGUUUUAUCAACACACACAUUUCCACGAAUGACGAUGUCAUGAGCGAACUUAUCAAUACGUAAUUAAACUGCUCCCUUGGGUAUUGAUAAUACACAAUAAGCUACGAAGGCACAGGGACAGUCACAGUCGAAAUAAAAAAGGCUGAAAUGGCAUCAGGAGACCACCACCAUGGUAAAACGAACGUGGUUUAUCAAUUUAAUCCUGCCGACUAUGGUCCGUUCAACGUUUUGGACGGCGACCACUUCAACAACUUCACCGGCGGAAGCUACUAUAUGACAACUCCAAAAGAGGAUAACAUCAUGCUGUAUCGACUUUAUGGAGGAAAUGCGACUGCCGAGGGUCAGCAUUGGACUCUUGAGCCUAGAAAAGGCAAUGACGGAUAUCGACACGACGCUGCUGUAUUGAAACCAUGGAACACACUGGAGCACGCCGUGGAGCUUAUCGUCCCCAGGGGUGUCCAUAUGUACGAAGGGUUUGUUGGGCGCCAAAAAGGUUACCUUGGCGGUGGGUGGCAGGUAUUCAUUCCUAGAGAGGUCGUCAAGUCUGUUUAGAAUGCAGCACAAUACUGAAAACAAAAAGGUGAAAGACCAGGAGAUGGAAGCGAUAAAAAAAUUCCAAGAGCAAAAAAGGAAGCUUUGGGAAAAUAAAUUGAACAAGCACAUGGAGUCCAACGCGUUUGCAAAAGGAAGCUUUUUGCGGCAACUGCCCUCCGACGUCAGCCGAUUUUUAACGCUGAAAUCGGGUGACUCGUCGUCUGGAGAAAAAGUGAAAGAGGGCAAGUACCUCCUUCAUCGCGACAGCGUCCCAAGAAUCGGCGGAGGAAGAAUCAACGUCAGUAUUUCAGUGAAGAUUGAGUUUGUAAGAAGCGAGACCCAAACAUGCCAGUCUGAUAAAGCUAUCGUUACGACAAUUACAAACUAUUACAACCGAAUUACUGUUAUCGAAGAAACGGUGAGCUAAAGACUUCUUACAAAUAUUACAUCAUACAUGUACACAGAGAUUUCCUGUCAAAUAAAUUGUAUCAGAGACGUAGAUAACAAGUCUCUGAAUGAUUGCUUGUUGGUUUGAUGAUUGAGCAAUUUAAAAACGUGAAUGAACAGAUAUAUAACUAAGGUGAUGAUUGUAUCAUGUAAACUUUGCUGUUGCUAAUUAUAAAGUGUACACUUAAAUAUUACCAAUAUUUUCGCAUGUUAUAUACAAAUAGCGUUGAACUCUUAAUAGUAUUGGAACUAUUUGUAAAAAGAUGGCUUUGUUUGAAUAGUAAAAUCUUAAGAGGCUAAUAUGGAAAAUUAUUCUUAAUUGGUAUUUGAUUUAUCAUUAAAUUUUUACUUCACA